UUCUUUUGUAAGUGAUUUUUGAUGGGUUUAGGGGGGGGGGGCUUAUAUGCACAGGGGCCUUAUACAUGGACGAUCAAUUGUGUUAGUAAUAAACAAGUCAGUCAUAAACAGGAAAAUAAACAUGUAUUAACAUAGUAAGCUAUAAAGAUAAUGACAGUGUUUCAAAUAUCAUUCUCUGCUAUAUUAAAAGACAAUGUCAAUGUUAAAUAACAUAGUGGAAUACUGGGCUUAUAUUCAGGGGGCUUAUAUUCAG